rnacentral:rRNA from 1 species
CCUACGGGAGGCAGCAGUAGGGAAUCUUCCGCAAUGGACGAAAGUCUGACGGAGCAACGCCGCGUGAACGAUGAAGGCCUUCGGGUCGUAAAGUUCUGUUGUUAGGGAAGAACAAGUGCUAGUUAAAUAAGCUGGCACCUUGACGGUACCUAACCAGAAAGCCACGGCUAACUACGUGCCAGCAGCCGCGGUAAUACGUAGGUGGCAAGCGUUGUCCGGAAUUAUUGGGCGUAAAGCGCGCGCAGGCGGUUUCUUAAGUCUGAUGUGAAAGCCCCCGGCUCAACCGGGGAGGGUCAUUGGAAACUGGGAAACUUGAGUGCAGAAGAGGAAAGUGGAAUUCCAAGUGUAGCGGUGAAAUGCGUAGAGAUUUGGAGGAACACCAGUGGCGAAGGCGACUUUCUGGUCUGUAACUGACGCUGAGGCGCGAAAGCGUGGGGAGCAAACAGGAUUAGAUACCCUGGUAGUCCACGCUGUAAACGAUGAGUGCUAAGUGUUAGAGGGUUUCCGCCCUUUAGUGCUGAAGUUAACGCAUUAAGCACUCCGCCUGGGGAUACGGUCGCAAGACUGAAAACUCAAAAGGAAUUGACGGNUGAGACGNGCGAGAGACAGAGGAGAG